rnacentral:misc_RNA from 1 species
AAAUUGUUUAGAUAAUAGACAGAUUGAAAUUUCAAGGCAGUCAUGGAAUUAUUUUAUACUUGAUUGAAUAAUGUUGGUUGUAUUCUCGGGUUCCUGAUCAUGUAAAUUUUAGCACUUGAGUUCUCAUUUUGUCUAGUCUCCCACAUCAUAUGGUUAAUAAACAGGGCAUGUUGUCUAGAAUCUUUGGCAAUGUCUUUUUAAUCAUACAAGUUCUAGAACAUGAUGUUGUUUGACGUGCUUGAGUUCCAUUUUCAACUUCUUGAUUGCAUUUCUGAAGUAAUGGUAAAACAAAACACAUUUUAAUGCUGAAAACUGCUUCUCUUUUUUCUUCUUUGUUAAGAAUAUAUGCUUUGCAUCCAGG